GCAACAGGUUUCAGCUCUCCUCACUUCGUUUAUUGCCGAUACAUUUGCAUAAUUCAAACGUGUAUUCCGAUGCAAAUAUUGAUUGCUGAUACAUACAAUUUCAUUCCAUUCCCUUGAGCGAACUUACAAGAAACGUGACGACAGCGGAGAUUGGGGCUGACACACGUAGGCGUGUCAAGGCUCUAAUUUACCACAAAUCUGUGGUUGACCGCCAGCUGCCAUGGCUUGCGAUGGGCUUGGGCUCCUCCUGAUUCAUCUAGAGGCCAGUUCGGGGCUGCUGCCAACCACAUUACCCGAGAGAAACACUCAACAAGCCGCGCUCUGAACUCGUCGAGGAAGUGUAACGAACGCUGUCAACUGAUUUAGAUUGCUCGAUAGUGGGAGGUCGGCUCGUUCGCUUGCAUUUGAGCAGGAACAUUCAUUAAAUGCCAGACAGCGACUUGUUGAAUUCAAUUGUGGGACGGGAUAAAUGUUGAACAAGUGCGACUGACAGGUGAAAAUGAACAACUCUUCUCUCUCUAAACCGCUCCAAAGUUGACUUGAAGUCAUCGGGGAAUGCAAUGAACCUU
rnacentral:lncRNA from 1 species